UUGAGCCGGAUGAUGGGUAACUGUCAAGUCCGGUUCUUAGGGGAGGGGAGUAGAGUAAUCUACAAACCUUACCCGAC
rnacentral:ncRNA from 2 species